rnacentral:rRNA from 1 species
AUUUGUCUUAUAAUUGAAGGCUGGAAUGAAAGAGUUGACGGUGCCUUGGCUUUCUAACAAAAAAAUAUUGAACUUGAUAUCCACCUAAAAAAGUGUGGCUUUCUAAAGGGACGAUAAGACCCUAUAAAGCUUCACCGGGUAAAUUAUUUAUAACUAGGGCCCCAAAAUAGUAACUCUGGUUCAGCUGGGGCGGCAUUUAAUACUCAUUAAAAAAUAAAACAAUUAUUUUUGAAACGAAAGAUCUUAAGAAAGAAGUAGACUAAGCUACUUUAGGGAUAACAGCAUAAUUCCUUAUUAUAGAUCCUAUAGAUUAAUGAGACUUGUGACCUCGAUGUUGAAUUGGGGAGCUCUCUUCGGGCAGUU